GGCGUGGUGUAAAGGCUAACACAUCAGUCCGGUCUACUGAAGAUGCUGGUUCGCUUCCAGCCAGCC
rnacentral:tRNA from 1 species